rnacentral:rRNA from 1 species
ACGUAGGGGGCAAGCGUUGUCCGGAAUUACUGGGCGUAAAGAGCACGUAGGCGGUUUAUUAAGUUAGAUGUGAAAGUUUGCAGCUUAACUGUAAAAGUGCAUUUAAAACUGGUAGACUUGAGUCUCGGAGAGGUAAGCGGAAUUCCUAGUGGAGCGGUGUAAUGCGUGGGGAGUAGGAAGCACGUCGGUGGGGGUGGCGAGUUACUAGGCGUGUACCGAUGCUCAGGUGGCUUACCGUCUCCAACAUACAU